UGAGGAAUAUUGGUCAAUGGGCGAGAGCCUGAACCAGCCAAGUCGCGUGAAGGAAGACAGUCCUAAGGUUUGUAAACUUCUUUUAUACGGGAAUAACGGGCGAUACGAGUAUUGCAUUGAAUGUACCGUAAGAAUAAGCAUCGGCUAACUCCGUGCCAGCAGCCGCGGUAAUACGGAGGAUGCGAGCGUUAUCCGGAUUUAUUGGGUUUAAAGGGUGCGUAGGUUGUUCGGUAAGUCAGCGGUGAAACCUGAGCGCUCAACGUUCAGCCUGCCGUUGAAACUGCCGGGCUUGAGUUAAGUGGCGGCAGGCGGAAUUCGUGGUGUAGCGGUGAAAUGCAUAGAUAUCACGAGGAACUCCGAUUGCGAAGGCAGCUUGCCAUACUGCGACUGACACUGAAGCACGAAGGCGUGGGUAUCAAACAGG
rnacentral:rRNA from 1 species